rnacentral:rRNA from 1 species
UACAGGGGGUGCAAACGUUGCUCGGAAUUAUUGGGCGUAAAGCGCGUGUAGGCGGCUUGGCAAGUCAGUUGUGAAAGCCCGGGGCCCAACCCCGGAAUUGCAUCUGAAACUGCCUGGCUGGAGUCCCGGAGAGGAAGGCAGAAUUCCCGGUGUAGGGGUGAAAUCCGUAGAUAUCGGGAGGAAUACCAGCGGCGAAGGCGGCCUUCUGGACGGUGACUGACGCUGAGACGCGAAAGCGUGGGGAGCAAACAGG